UUUAUGGAGAGUUUGAUCCUGGCUCAGGAUGAACGCUGGCGGCGUGCCUAAUACAUGCAAGUCGAGCGAACGGACGAGAAGCUUGCUUCUCUGAUGUUAGCGGCGGACGGGUGAGUAACACGUGGAUAACCUACCUAUAAGACUGGGAUAAC
rnacentral:rRNA from 1 species